rnacentral:rRNA from 1 species
UACGAAGGGGGCUAGCGUUGCUCGGAAUCACUGGGCGUAAAGCGCACGUAGGCGGCUUUUUAAGUCAGGGGUGAAAUCCUGGAGCUCAACUCCAGAACUGCCUUUGAUACUGGGAAGCUUGAGUUCGGGAGAGGUGAGUGGAACUGCGAGUGUAGAGGUGAAAUUCGUAGAUAUUCGGAAGAACACCAGUGGCGAAGGCGACUCGCUGGACAAGUAUUGACGCUGAGGUGCGAAAGCGUGGGGAGCAAACAGG